rnacentral:rRNA from 2 species
AAAAACUUUCAACAACGGAUCUCUUGGUUCCAGCAUCGAUGAAGAACGCAGCGAAAUGCGAUAAGUAAUGUGAAUUGCAGAAUUCAGUGAAUCAUCGAAUCUUUGAACGCACAUUGCGCCCCUUGGUAUUCCGGGGGGCAUGCCUGUUCGAGCGUCAUUAC